rnacentral:lncRNA from 1 species
GGGAUUCGGUUUUGGGACUAGGGAAUGGUUUAAGGUUUUUGGCGUCAGGGUUGAAAUCACUGUCCAAAUCCUUUGUAGGAACUCUUUUCCAACCUUUUGGAGUUAGUUAGACCAAAAAAAAAGAAAAAUGAAAAAAAAAUAUUUGGGGUGUUCAGGCUUCCUUAAUGUAAUACCCGGGUAUUAGAUUUUAAUGCCAGGGUAAGGUUUAAGUUUUUCGGCGUUAGGGUUAAAAUCACUGUCCAAAACCUUUGUAGGAACUCUUUUCCAACCUUUUGGAGUUAGUUAGACCAAAAAAAAAUGAAAAACUAAAAAACAAUAUUUGGGGUUUUCGGGGUUCCUGAAUGUAAUACCCGGGUAUUAGAUUUUAAGGCUAGGGUAAGGUUUAAGGUUUUUGGCGUUAGGGUUAAAAUCACUGUCCAAAACCUUUGUAGGAACUCUUUUCCAACCUUUUGGAGUUAGUUAGACCAAAAAAAAAUGAAAAAUGAAAAAAAAAUAUUUGGGGUGUUCGGGAUUCCUGAAGGUAAUACCCGGGAAUUAGGUUAUGGGGCUAUGGUAAGUUUUAAGGUUUUUGGCGUUAGGGUUAAAAUCACUCUCCAAAACCUUUGUAGGAACUCUUUUCCAACCUUUUGGAGUUGGUUACACCAACAAAAAUGUAAAAUAAAGAAAAAAAUAUUUUGGGUGUUCGGGCUUCCUGAAGGUAAUACCCGGGUAUUAGAUUUUAAGGCUAGGGUAAGGUUUAAGGUUUUUGGCGUUAGGGUUAAAAUCACUGUCCAAAACCUUUGUAGGAACUCUUUUCCAACCUUUUGGAGUUGGUUACACCAACAAAAAUGUAAAAUGAAAAAAAAAUAUUUGGGGUGUUCGGGCUUCCUGAAGGUAAUACCCGGGUAUUAGGUUUUGGGACUAGGGAAAGGUUUAAGGUUUUUGGCGUUAGGGUUAAAAUCACUGUCCAAAACCUUUGUAGGAACUCUUUUCCAACCUUUUGGAGUUGGUUACACCAAAAAAAAUGUAAAAUGAAAAAAAAAAAAACUUGGGGUGUUCGGGCUUCCUGAAUGUAAUACCCGGGUAUUACAUUUUAAGGCCAGGGUAAGGUUUCAGUUUUUUGGCAUUAGGGUUAAAAUCACUGUCCAAAACCUUUGUAGGAACUCUUUUCCAACCUUUUGGAGUUGGUUAGACCAAAAAAAGAAAAAUGAAAAAAAAAUAUUUGGGGUGUUCAGGCUUCCUAAAAGUAAUACCCGUGUAUUAGGUUAUGGGGCUAUGGUAAGGUUUAAGGUUUUUGGCGUUAGGGUUAAAAUCACUGUCCAAAACCUUUGUAGGAACUCUUUUUCAACCUUUUGGAGUUAGUUCGACCAAAAAAAAAUGAAAAAUGAAAAAAAAAUAUUUGGGGUUUCCGGGCUUCCUUAAUGUAAUACCCGGGUAUUAGAUUUUAAGGCCAGGGUAAGGUUUAAGUUUUUUGGCAUUAGGGUUAAAAUCACUGUCCAAAACCUUUGUAGGAACUCUUUUCCAACCUUUUGGAGUUAGUUAGACCAAAAAAUAUGAAAAAAGAAAAAAAUAUUAUUGGGGGUUUUCGGGCUCCCUGAAAGUAAUACCCGUGUAUUAGGUUUUGGGACUAGGGAAAGGUUUAAGGGUUUUGGCGUUAGGGUUAAAAUCACUGUCCAAAACCUUUGUAGGAACACUUUUCCAACCUUUUGGAGUUAGUUAGACCAAAAAAAAAAGAAAAAUGAAAAAAAAAAUAUUUGGGGUGUUCAGGCUUCCUAAAAGUAAUACCCGGGUAUUAGGUUAUGGGGCUAUGGUAAGGUUUAACGUUUUGGCGUAAGGUUUAAAAUCACUGUCCAAAACCUUUGUAGGAACUCUUUAACAACCUUUUGGAUUUAGUUAGACCAAAAAAAAAGAAAAAUGAAAAAAAAAUAUUUGGGGUGUUCAGGCUUCCUAAAAGUAAUACCUGGGUAUUAGGUUAUGGGGCUAUGGUAAGGUUUAAGGUUUUUGGCGUUAGGGUUAAAAUCACUGUCCAAAACCUUUGUAGGAACUCUUUUCCAACCUUUUGGAGUUGGUUACACCAAAAAAAAUGUAAAAUGAAAAAAAAAUAUAUUUGGGGUGUUCGGACUUCCUGAAUGUAAUACCCGGGUAUUAGAUUUUGAGGCUAGGGUAAGGUUUAAGGUUUUUGGCGUUAGGGUUAAAAUCCCUGUCCAAAACCUUUGUAGGAACUCUUUUCCAACCUUUUGGAGUUAGUUAGACCAAAAAAUAUGAAAAAAGAAAAAAAUUUUAUUGGGGGUUUUCGGGCUCCCUGAAAGUAAUACCCGUGUAUUAGGUUUUGGGACUAGGGAAAGGUUUAAGGUUUUUGGCGUUAGGGUUAAAAUCACUGUCCAAAACCUUUGUAGGAACUCUUUUCCAACCUUUUGGAGUUAGUUAGACCAAAAAAAAAUGAAAAAUUAAAAAACAAUAUUUGGGGUUUUCGGGGUUCCUGAAUGUAAUACCCGGGUAUUAGGUUAUGGGGCUAGGGUAAGGUUUAAGUUUUUUGGCAUUAGGGUUAAAAUCACUGUCCAAAACCUUUGUAGGAACUCUUUUCCAACCUUUUGGAGUUGGUUACACCAACAAAAAUGUAAAAUGAAGAAAAAAAUAUUUGGGGUUUUCGGGGUUCCUGAAUGUAAUACCCGGGUAUUAGGUUUUGGGACUAGGGAAAGGUUUAAGGUUUUUGGCGUUAGGGUUAAAAUCACUGUCCAAAACCUUUGUAGGAACUCUUUUCCAACCUUUUGGAGUUAGUUAGACCAAAAAAAAAAAGAAAAAUGAAAAAAAAAUAUUUGGGGUGUUCAGGCUUCCUAAAAGUAAUACCCGGGUAUUAGGUUAUGGGGCUAGGGUAAGGUUUAAGGUUUUUGGCGUUAGGGUUGAAAUCACUGUCCAAAACCUUUGUAGGAACUCUUUUUUCAACCUUUUGGAGUUAGUUAGACCAAAAAAAAAUGAAAAAUGAAAAAAAAAAAUUUGGGGGUUUUCGGGCUUCCUGAAUGUAAUACCCGGGUAUUAGAUUUUAAGGCCAGGGUAAGGUUUCAGUUUUUUGGCAUUAGGGUUAAAAUCACUGUCCAAAACCUUUGUAGGAACUCUUUUCCAACCUUUUGGAGUUGGUUAGACCAAAAAAAAAGAAAAAUGAAAAAAAAAAUAUUUGGGGUGUUCAGGCUUCCUAAAAGUAAUACCCGGGUAUUAGGUUAUGGGGCUAUGGUAAGGUUUAAGGUUUUUGGCGUUAGGGUUAAAAUCACUGUCCAAAACCUUUGUAGGAACUCUUUUCCAACCUUUUGGAGUUAGUUAGACCAAAAAAAAAUGAAAAAUGAAAAAAAAAAUAUUUGGGGUUUUCGGGCUUCCUGAAUGUAAUACCCGGGUAUUAGAUUUUGAGGCUAGGGUAAGGUUUAAGUUUUUUGGCAUUAGGGUUAAAAUCACUGUCCAAAACCUUUGUAGGAACUCUUUUCCAACCUUUUGGAGUUGGUUACACCAACAAAAAUGUAAAAUGAAGAAAAAAAUAUUUGGGGUGUUCAGGCUUCCUGAAGGUAAUACCCGGGUAUUAGAUUUCAAGGCUAGGGUAAGUUUUAAGGUUUUUGGCGUUAGGGUUAAAAUCACUGUCCAAAACCUUUGUAGGAACUAUUUUCCAACCUUUUGGAGUAAGUUAGACCAAAAAAAAAAAGAAAAAUGAAAAAAAAAUAUUUGGGGUGUUCAGGCUUCCUAAAACUAAUACCCGGGUAUUAGGUUAUGGGGCUAUGGUAAGGUUUAACGUUUUGGCGUUAGGUUUAAAAUCACUGUCCAAAACCUUUGUAGGAACUCUUUUUCAACCUUUUGGAGUUAGUUAGACCAAAAAAAAAAAGAAAAAUGAAAAAAAAAAUAUUUGGGGUUUACGGGCUUCCUGAAUGUAAUACCCGGGUAUUAGAUUUUA